AGCAGCCGCGGUAAUUCCAGCUCCAAUAGCGUAUAUUAAAGUUGUUGCAGUUAAAAAGCUCGUAGUUGAAUUUCGGGGUCAGCAGGUUGGUCGUGCCACUGGUAUGUACUGGCUUCGCUGAUUCCUCCCUCUUGUAGAACCGUAAUGCCAUUAAGUUGGUGUUGCGGGGAAACAGGACUGUUACUUUGAAAAAAUUAGAGUGUUUAAAGCAGGCUAACGCUUGAAUACAUUAGCAUGGAAUAAUGAAAUAGGACGAUCGAUCCUAUUUUGUUGGUUUCUAGGAUUGACGUAAUGAUUAAUAGGGAUAGUUGGGGGCAUUAGUAUUCAAUUGUCAGAGGUGAAAUUCUUGGAUUUAUUGAAGACUGACUACUGCGAAAGCAUUUGCCAAGGAUGUUUUCAUUAAUCAAGAACGAAAGUUAGGGGAUCGAAGACGAUCAGAUACCGUCGUAGUCUUAACCAUAAACUAUGCCGACUAGGGAUCGGAUGAUGUUAAUUUUUAAUGACUCAUUCGGCGCCUUAC
rnacentral:rRNA from 1 species